rnacentral:rRNA from 1 species
AGUGAACGCUGGCGGUAGGCCUAACACAUGCAAGUCGAACGGCAGCACAGUAAGAGCUUGCUCUUACGGGUGGCGAGUGGCGGACGGGUGAGGAAUACAUCGGAAUCUACUUUUUCGUGGGGGAUAACGUAGGGAAACUUACGCUAAUACCGCAUACGACCUACGGGUGAAAGCAGGGGAUCUUCGGACCUUGCGCGAUUGAAUGAGCCGAUGUCGGAUUAGCUAGUUGGCGGGGUAAAGGCCCACCAAGGCGACGAUACGUAGCUGGUCUGAGAGGAUGAUCAGCCACAGUGGAACUGAGACACGGUCCAGACUCCUACGGGAGGCAGCAGUGGGGAAUAUUGGACAAUGGGCGCAAGCCUGAUCCAGCCAUACCGCGUGGGUGAAGAAGGCCUUCGGGUUGUAAAGCCCUUUUGUUGGGGAAGAAAAGCAGCAGGUUAAUACCCCGCUGUUCUGACGGUACCCAAAGAAUAAGCACCGGCUAACUUCGUG